GCCUCUUCUUCUUCUUCUAAUCUUGCUGUUGGACCCGACGAAGCAAACCCUAGCCUCCUCCUGGAGUAGGCAGCAAUCAUGGCAGACCACCCCAGGCCUCCUCCCUGUGUGUUGCUGGAACGCGUGGUGCGUUUCGUGGAAGCAGCAGGGUUAACCAGCGGUGGCGCCAGCAGAGACCCAGAUGUUGCGGCCAUAAUCGAGGUCGGCGGAUGGAGCUGGAGCACAGUGCAAAUGAUGGGUUCCGUGGAGGAGAUGGAGCGGCUGAUGGCGCCGUCCGUGAAACCCGUCGCCUUCCUCGGCGACCCACCUCAAGUAAGCAGCCUGCACAUGCUGCUGCCGCCGCCGGCGAGCCUGGAUCUGCUUGGGAUCGGCGAGAUCUCCAGCACCCACAAGGGCAUCGUCGUUAUCUACGCCGAUAAAUGCUACCUCCUCUAUGAUGCCUCCAACAACCACCUCACCGCUAUCCCCCCAAUUCCCGAUUCGGUGACCUCUGCCCCCAUCUUCCUUCCCCUCGGUCGCGGCGCUGUCCUCGUCUCUGCCGCCGGCGCCGAUGAUGAUGAUUACAUCUUCGCCGACAUCGUCACCUCCCCCUCCACUAGAGGGAUCAACCCCGCGCUCCCCAAAGCCACCAUCUUCGCGAGGGUGAAGAACGGCGGCGAGUGGAUCCAGUCAUCGAUUCCUCCCCUCCCUCUCCCUCCACAUCUCUGUGGCCCGACCUACUUCUUCCACAUCGACACGGCCUUCUCCUUCGCCGGCACCAUCUUCUGGGUUGAUCUCCUCAAGGGCAUCUUGAUUUGCGACGACAUCUUGUCAUCACCGCAAGGCCCCAGGCUAGCGUUCGUCCCGUUGCCCCACUGCAUCGACGCCCACGACAAACCCCGCCAUUGCUUCAGCCCAAAUGAACACCGUUCCAUCGGCCGCGUCUCUGGUGCCAUCAAGUUCCUCGCCUUGAUCGGCUACUGCGAAGCUUCUUGUCCCGAGAACGAGGUGAAGCUCAAGACAUGGUCACUGUCCCCAGAUUUCAAGCACUGGAAAGAGGAAACCACCUUGACUGUCGGAGACAUCUGGGCGAGCGAGAGCUUCAACCAGAUGGGGUUGCCACAUGUUCUGCCCUUCUCCCCUGUCCUCAGCGUCAACGAAGAUGGCAUCAUGUAUGCCGUUCUGAAUGAUGUCAAGAAGGAACCAAUACCGCGACUCAAUGAGUUCGGGGACAGUCUUGGGAUGCAGCUGGUUCCUAAAGCAAAUUAUAUGAUCCGCUUCGACAUGCUGCAAAACAAGGUCCUGUCCUCCACCAAGAUUUCUAAAAAGGCCACUUCGCGGUGGCUUACAAAUACCUUCCUUGCUACCGACUUCAGUGCAUACCUACAAGACCGCCAGAAUGCUGAAGCAGCAGGCAAGGUUGGAGCAAGCGCCAAGGGCAAGCGUAAGCGGAUGAGCAGCAGGCAAGCUGGUAGGAGCAAGUGCCAAGGGCAAGCGUAAGCGGAUCGAGGAGUGCUGAAUGGUACUCCCUCAGUUAAAAAAAAAAAACAAUCCUGAGUAUGAACCUGGACACGUGUGUGGGCUCAUACCCAGGAUUUGUUCUUUUCUUUUUAGGACGGAGAGAGUAGUAUAUUUCUGUUGCUUAUCAUGUGCGCCUAGCAUGUCGCUUUUUUGGCUUACAUCCUGUGAGAUGUAAUGUUAGCAUGUGUUUGGUUUCGGGACUAAGUGGGAUGGGAUGAAACCAUCCCUGAUUUUGGAGUUGGGAUGAUUCCACUCACAUGUUUGGUUUGUAGGAUGGGACAAUUCUAAUUUUUUGUUUGGUUGAAAGGAUGAGGGAGAAAUGGGAUGGACGCCGUUUGCCAUCACCGUCAACGACCGUCGCCUGCGCCACCUGCAUCCACGCGUGGAACAACCGGAUCAAGCACAGCGGCAGCAGCAGGACGGCCACCACCGCCGGAGCACCCAACCCGCUGGCCCACCGUCGUCGCCGCGGCUGGAUCGGGAGAUCCCCUGCGCCGGAUCCGCCGCCGCCGCUCUCCCUACCUCCAAGUUUCGCCGCCGCCGAGUCCCCCUUCUCUGGAUCCGCCGCCGCCGCCCUCCCUACCUCCAAGCUUCGCCGCCACUCGAGCCCGCCGCGUCGACAUCACCGCAGCUGCCGCAACCGCUCUCGUCGAGCAUCACGAUGAGCGGCGGGAUGGCGCCGAGCAUCUCGCUCGCGGCGGCAACCGGUGUUAAGGCAAGGGGUCGUGGAGGAGCGCCGGCGGUCGCAGAGGUGGUGGCAGGCGGUCGUGGCGGAGCGCCGGCGGUCACGGAGGAGGCGGCGGGCACGGGCGCGGACGAGCGCCUGCGGUCGCCGAGGAGACGCCGUGUGCUCCGUCCAAGUGGGACGAGCUCGUCCGGCCGAUUUUGCCGGAUGGAUUUGUCCCGGAUCUAGGAGGAAUAUUCCUCUCUAGGGACCAACCCAUCCCACUCGCCCCUCAACCAAACACCUCUAAAAGUGGGUUUGUCCCAUCCCAUCCCAUCCCAUCCCACCAACCAAACACUACCUUAAAUGUGUUUAGGUUAACCAUCAGACCUUAUUUUAGUCACUAUCAGACUUUAUUUUAAUGAUAUCAGCCUAGCAG
rnacentral:lncRNA from 1 species